rnacentral:lncRNA from 1 species
CGGACGAGUGCGGGGAGGAGUUUGAGAUGGGAGGCGCUUGCAGGGGCUCCCCCAGUUCUGCGCUGUGAGCCGGGGCACAAAGAGCCCUCUGCACUAGCGCCGCAGGACCGCGGACCCGAGUUGGAGGCAUCUGUCCACCCAUGUGGUUCCAGACACGUUCAUGUGGCCACCAUGACCCCGUCGGCAUCACAGGAGUAACCAAGGUCCACAGAGCGAGGGGAAAGGGUCACUGUGGAUCAAGCCAGGCUCCUCUGAGCAGUCCAGGAUCUAUUUACAGAGAGCAGCAAGUUCCUGGGACAGAGGAGACAGAAGGGAAUUUCCAGGUUCUUCAGGACGUUCACAACCACACUGAGAAGCAUCUUUGCAGAUAAGUAUUUAAACUUACCAGCCCAUAGCCUACCAGCCUGCCCUCUUCUGGUCUGUGCAGGAAAGUGUAGUAUCCUAGAAUACCAAAGUGGGAGGGGAAAUGGGUGAUGUAGCUCAUUCUCUUUUCUACCUCUAUGGAAGAAAGAAAGAGCCUGUCCCCAUUUUGUGGGGUCCCAGAAAGGGUGAUUUUCACACUUCACAUUUGGCAUUAGGGCUAGUAUUUUACAAACAUUACCGUCUGGAACUUUUGAAGGCUGAGUUAAAUGACUUCAUCUUGUGUACUUGUAGAACUGCUAUUAGAAGGAGGCUGGGACUCCCUGAUGAUGUGAACCAGCCCUUCUCUUCUCAGUUUCAGCACUUUGUGAUCAUAUUUAUAAACCUUAGACAGGGCUCCUUGGCCUUACAGUUAAGUGAAGAGUUAACACUGUGACUUUAGAUGCAUUUUUCUCAGUGCAAGUGUCUGAGCUCAUCUCCAGUUCUGGACUCGUGCCCCCACUCCCAGGUGCUGACAGCAAGCUCUGAAGAUAUGCUGAGAGAGCUCCCUGACUCUCCUGACUCAGGUCUGCCAGUUGAUGAAGACAGCACAGUUGUUACCAAAAACAAAACCUGGCAGAUGGUCCUAGGUCAGGAUUAGUGGUCAUUCUCUGGUCUUCUCCAGACUGGUGACACAGGGUGGUCUUAAAAGAGUCCUAGUCCAGCCUCUGGCUCCCCGAAUUUCCUCUGGUGCAUGGGGCAUCAGGAAAGGGCAGGGGAGAAGGAGGGGGAGCAGAAAAAUAACUGAGGCUGGGCAGAAGGGUCCCUUCCAUUUCCCAUCCAUUGCUUCAAACAAUGGGUGAUUACCGUGCACCUUGAGUGAAUGUCCAGGCAGGAAGGGUUCCAGGGCCACCCAGUGUGGCAGGAGCAGAGCUGGGAUCAGAAUUCUGGAUUCCUGACUCUCCGUUCAGCUGCUAUUCAGCUAUCACCAAGCUGCUGAGUUUGUCCUACUUUCUCCUGGGUCACAUUCUGCUGUUGUUGGGAAACAGGGAGUGAGUGAAGGGAACCUGGGAACCCUUCUCCCCUCACCUUUUAAGGAUGUUCUGGGGUGGAAUAAAGAGAGGUGGAGGGUGGGGUGCCUGGGCCCAGCCUCCCUGGCUCCUGGUCCUUCUUUCUUCAGCAGGGAGUUCUGGCAAGGCCUGGGCCUGGGGAGGGGGCCUGGGUGCAGUUUUCUCCUGCGGUGUGGUUGGCUCUUUUGUCUUCCAGGAUGGGCCUGUGGGGUCUGUGUGGGGAAGGAAGGAGCUGGGAGCCUGGGCUGCCUGUGUGUCGGCUGGAUGCUGCCAGGUGGCUCCAUCUGGGCCGCAUCUCCAGGACUCCUGGCCUGGACUUCUCUUUGGACCUCGGGUGACCUUGGAUUCUGGCCACAGUGACUUAACGGUCAGACUCCGGUGGUUUUCUAGCCCGCUGGGUGACUCCCUGAAGAUCUCAUCCUCUUCACACCUGUUGGGAUGGAGCCUCCCAUGGAUAGGAACUCUUCCUGGUUGAUGCUCAGCAGAUGACUGAUCUGGCUCUGGAGGACAGCUGCAGGGGUAUGAGGGAGGCCUGGCAGCCCACUACUCCCUCCUCACCUGCUCGGGCCCUGCCUGCUGGGCCCUAUUGUCUGGGUCUGAGGGCCCUUUCCUGCCCCAUGUGAACUUGAUUCCUCCUCGCGUUUCUGCCGGUGACCAGACAGAGCCUGGCCUGGGCCAAGUCCCCACUGACCACACUUUCCCCAAGGCUGGGUCUCAAAGGACCCUACAGGAUGGGGACAGGAACAAGGAUGGGAGUCGGGGAGGGGCUGUCAGGCAGAGGGCAGAUGCAGCUCCUCGGGUGCCGCUGGCUGGAGUCCUUUGUCUCCAUUUGCUCAGUGCGUAAUUGUCAUUUUGUGGGGGACUUCCUUGGUGGGGCUUUUCCAUGCUUUUCCUCUCCCUGAUGGUUACAAAGAGGAGACAGUCAGGAUCUGGGAGGAGCUGGAGCCUUCCCCCUGUGCUGUUGAACUCUGGGAGGGGCAGCCAGAGGGGCUGAGAGUGCACCAUCCUGAAAAGAGAGGGUCUUUAAGAGAUAAGAUUUAGGCUAGGGAAAUUCACUAGAAAGAGACAGGUGGCCCUGGGUUUUUUUUCCUGCCAUCCAAAGGGAACCAGUCUUACCCAAAGGCUUGAGGGGUCACCUUAGCCCAGUCUCAGGACACUCUUCUUCAAUCAGAUCGCUGCUUCUAGUUGCACUGCUCCUGGAUUCUGUUCUUGGGGAACAGAAGGUGGCAGGACAGGCCCCACAAUCUGCAAUUCCAGCUCCCUCCAGAGGAGACAGUCCCAGCAUUUGCAAGAGAGCAGCUUGUGGCCUCCCUUAGGCAAGUUUAAAAGCCAGAUGUCCUUUUUCCCAGAAUGGGGAGUGGUGUGUACUAUUCAUCAGCUUGGGCUGCCACAGCACCAUGCCACAGACUGGAUGGCUUAAACAUCAGGAAUUUAUUUUCUGCCAGUUCUGGAGGCUGGAAAGUCCAGAUCAAGGUGUUAGACUUGGUUUCUGGUGAGGCCUCUCUCCUUGGCUUGCAGGUGGCACCUUCUCACUAUGUCCUCACAUGGUCUUUUCUCUGUGGAGAGGGACAGAGAGCAUGAGCAGGCUCUGGUGUCUCCUCCUCUUCUUAUAAAGACACUAAUAUCACCAUAUUAGGGCUUAAACCUAUGACCUCAUUUAACCUUAACCCCUUAAAGGUCCCAUCUCCAAAAACAGUCACAUAGCAGGCUACUGCUUCAACAUAUGCAUUUGGGGGAGGGGACACCAUUCAGUCCUUAACAGGGUGGUCACCGCAAACAUGGAAAGUCAGAGCCUUCUCCCCUUCAGAAUUCCCCGCCCCCACCCAGGGAUGGGGAAGAGGAGCAGAGGUAUGGGAAGCAGACACGGAGAGGGGCAGGUACCAUGCUGGGGUGGCUCAGGAGUGCUUCAGAGGACAUAUGGAACUGGCAGGGCUCAGUGCAGGGAGGCGGAGGCCCUGGGAGAGCCGUGUCCUGAGAAGGGCCUGGGCUACAAUCCUGGGCAAGUUACUUCACCUCUGAGCCUCCGAUGCUCUGUGAAAUGGAAGGAAUGUGCUUGCCUGUCAGGUGCAGGGAGAAUUCAGUGAGAUUGUGUGCCUAGCACAGUGCCUGACUCCCAGUAGGUGCUCAGCAAAUGCUCCCAUCCAUCUGGGAGUAUAGACUUAGGGUUUAUCUAUUUUUUUUUUUUUUUUUGGCUCUCUGGACUUUAAAACUCAGCAUCUUCUGAACCAGAGGCAUUUCUGAUUAGCCCUUCCCUACCUAUUUUCCUAGUAUCACUCUUUAAUCAGCUUGGGGAGGUGGCAGCAUUUCAUGGCCUCCGUAGUAACUCACAAUGCUUCCUGGGGUAUUUAAAUUCCACUGUCUCAUCAGCACUGAGCACCUACUUUGGGCCCUUUCCCGUGCUAGCCAUUUGGGGGAAAUAUAGGUGAAGAGUGGCUGGGGUUUGAACCUUUAGGAUUUCACAGCCAUGCUGGAUGGGAUAAAACCAGCUCACAUGGAGAAUCAGAGAAUGGGACAGUGCCACAAAACAGUCUACUGAGGCACAAGUUCUGAGUGCCUGGGAAGUGGUAGAGAGACCCCAGAGAGGGCUGCUGCAGUCUGGAACAGCUUCCUAGCAAGCUGUACCAAACAGGGCCUUGAAGGAUGAGAAAGAUCUGGCUGAGAUGAUACCCGACCCUCUAGGGAAAUUCUUAAAGUAACUUCUAGGAAAUAUCAUUGCUCCUUAAAAAAAAAAAAAAAAAAAAAAAGCAGGUUCUAAUUCAAAUUCCGCUGCACUACUGAAGUAGUGCAGGACUUAUCAGAACCUUUAAAAUGCUAAUGGCAAUUUCAAAUACUCAGGGACAGGGCAUAGGAUGAAGUGUUCCUUGACUUUUAUGGCCAUAGAAUCUUUUUCUCAUGGAACAUCGUUUAGAACUGUGGGAGAUGCUAGGCUGGGAUUUCUAUGGGAAAAGUACAGCAGUGAUAGAAGAUGGCAUAAUUAGGGUACACUUAGGUGCUUUGUAGCAUUGGCUGAAAAGGAAGCAGACCGGGUGGGCGUGGGGGAGUCUCAACUUGGUUCCAGGAGCCAGGCCAGCUUGAUGCAAGUUUUUUUUUUUUCUAAUGGUGGGAGGGCAGGCCAAUAGUUGGAGAAACUAGAGGCCUGACAGUCGGUGAUGGAAGAGAUGUCUACUAAGCACGGUUGUCAGAUCUUUGCGGAGAGAUGCUGGUGUGCGUGUGUCUGUCAGAGUGUAACAGGAUCCAGCCCUCUGGGAAGGGGCUGACCAGAACCAGGCAGGGGGUUUCUGUCUAGGAUAAGUAGGGUCCAUUUUCAGGGGAGCUGAAAUAUUUGCAGGGGGUGCUCUGAGACCCACAGCCAAUAAAUAGGGAAGCAACAUGCUUCUGGGCAGGGUCCAUGUGGUUAGGGUUGAUUUUGAUGGUGCUGGGGGGCUUAGAGUUAGACCCCCUGCCCUGGUCAGGCCCCACUCCCUGGCUGGUGGGGGCGGGAGGCCUCUGAAGCUGCAGCUGGAGGGGCCGGGGCAGUGUUGCAUGGUGUGAUUAACCUACUAACCCAGGGCUCAGCCGGGACGCUGUGGCGUGUGACGAGGUGCCUGGCCUUCUGCCAACCAACUAACCCACUAACCAGGCCCGAGCAUGCCCUACUAACCACCCCCCCCGCAGCCAGAUCCUACUAACCGUGCAGCUCAUGGGCCUUUCAAGGGGCUGGGAUAUGGGGGCAGCCAAGGCUCCAGAAGGCUCUGCCUAUGGGCUGGGAUCUUUGUGCAGACCCACGUUCCAGGACAGAGAAUGCAAAUAAGACUCACCAACUCUGCCACUUCCUGUUGAGUGAGUUUGAGUAAGUCACCUCACUUCUCUCAACCUCAGUCUCCUCAGUGGUAGAAUGCGAGUUCUGAUACCUUACAGGUUGCAGUGAGGAUUCCCGUCAAUAUAAGGGUCUCAGCACAUGGCAGACACUUAAAAAAAAAAAGUAUGAGGAUGGAGGAAGGCCCCUCAAACCUGGUUGAACACGUCUGCUGCCUAGGUCCUGGCCUCUUUGGGUG